UUUAGAGUUUGAUCCAUGGCUCAGAAUCAACGCUGGCGGCGUGCCUAACACAUGCAAGUCGAACGAGAAAGUCCCGGCUUGCCGGGAUGAGUACAGUGGCGACCGGGUGAGUAACACGUGGAUAACCUGCCUUGGAGCGGGGAAUAACCCUGGGAAACCGGGGCUAAUACCGCAUAAUCCCCGGCGACUGCGGUCGCUGGGUUGAAACCUGGCAACGGGGCUCGAAGAGGGGUCCGCGGCUGAUUAGCUAGUUGGUGAGGUAACGGCCCACCAAGGCGAUGAUCGGUAGCCGGCCUGAGAGGGCGGUCGGCCACACUGGAACUGAAACACGGUCCAGACUCCUACGGGAGGCAGCAGUGGGGAAUUUUGCGCAAUGGGGGAAACCCUGACGCAGCAACGCCGCGUGGACGAUGAAGCCCCUUGGGGUGUAAAGUCCUUUCGGCAGGGACGAAAUCCCGGCUUGCCGGGAAUGACGGACCUGAAGAAGAGCCCCGCA
rnacentral:rRNA from 1 species